UUCUCUUAAGCGUUUUACACUCCCAGUAAGUUGUCCAAUACAUUUUUAUGGCAUAUUGUUUCCACCACUUCAGAUGCAUUACACGCUGUAUAUAAGUUUCCAAAACACAUCAAAUCAAUGCACGAAAAGAGAAUGGGCUCCGCAUUUACGUACCUUUGUCUUCUCGUCUCUGUCAUCUGAUCCUUCAUCUCUGGAUGUAAAAUACGGUAGUCCAUUAUAACAUCGUGUAGGAAACUGGCAUCACCAGGAUUGCUCAGAUUUAGGCGAUCAUGUUUAUCUUUAAAGUGAGCAGCUAGCUACUUGUUAAAAAACUUUGCGUGACAUAGUGUUACACCGCAGCCGGUCCGGGUAAAACAUUAAAGGGACAGUCUUUUUACCUUAUCACUAUAAAUCGCUAUUUUCUGCACUAAACGAGACAUUUUCAGAGAUUUUCUGUAGACAAGAUGUUAUAAUUAAAAAAAGACUUAUUUAGAUAUUUAUAUAUAAUAUAUAAUAUAACAACUAAUAUAUAUAUAUAUAUAUAUUUGUUUUACAACUGACUUAACACUUACAGUAAUGUUUUAUUUGUUAGCAUAGCAUGAUAUUAGAUUUAAACACUUAAUACAUUUUUAAAUCAAUCACUUUGUCUCUGCACAAUGAACAUUAUCAAAUAUUAUUAAUGUUGUAAAAUAUAUUGUUCAUUGUUAGUUCAUAUUAGCUAAGGCAUUACCAAAUGUUAAGGAAUAAACUCUUAUAGUAAAGUGUUACUAAAUUUUCUUUUACCAUUUCCUUCACAAUGUCUACUUAUUUCUAUGGCUAACAGAUUUUGUAACAUUUGUCUUUUUUACAGUCUUACCAUUGCUUGUAAGCUGGAUUGGGUAAGAUGGAUCAUCUUUAAAGGCACCAGGCAAGUACAUGAUGUACAGUUACAAGUCAUGUAUUUUUUCGACUGCAAUAUUAAAUGCUUUCACGUCACAUGCAAAAUUACACAGGAAUGUGGCUGACUUUUUAUUUGUAGUUUACAUGAGUGUCCUUGCACUUUUAUAGGAGUUAAGGCAGAUGUGGAGGCACAACGGGUGAUACCAGACACACACCAAGCACAUUAUGUUUGGACAUUCAAUCAUGACAUGAUCCAGGUGGAUGCUGUCCAUUGAGGAAAGAGUUUGUUCAGCGGUUUCUGGAUAGAAUUAAUUCCAAAGAUGGGAAAAAGUGCACAUCCAGACAAGGAGCAAGCAAAAAGACAAGGAACUUGGUGCAGAGAAAAGCUGUGGCCAUUAACCCCUGUGAACAGCUUCAUGCAGUCGCUGAUUGAGUUCGAAUGGACGACUUCAGUAAAGGCCACUGUGGUCUGUCUGCCACAGUUUAAUUUUUAAUUUAUUUUUAGUGUUCAAUGAAAUUCAAGUAGAAUAUUUAAAACUAUGGGCCAGUGUUGUUUUUACCACGGUGAAAUGUUACCUUUUAGUCGAUGAUGGACUUUAAACUGAAAACUUCAAACUAUGGAACAGUGUUCUAUUUGCCAGAGUUAAAUAUGUUACAGCAGGGGUCUCCAAACUUGUUUAUACUUGUUGAUUUUAUUUUAUGUUACUUGAUUAUAUGUUUAUUAUUGUUUAAAAUCUUGUUUUAAAUAUGUUUGUUUCAAUUAAAUGUUUUUUUUAAUAAAAUUUUGAUACAAACAUUGCUUGGAUUGCCUUUUAAUUCAUUAUGUUUUAAUUUAGCAUUUUUACCAUAUUAAUAACUAUAGAUUUAAACCUAAAUCUCUAGCUAUUUUAUAUAAUAUUAUUGUAUUAACUGUAAUAAGUAAUAAAUAGUAUUUAUGGGUCAAUAUAGACAUUACAGUAAAUUACUGUAAAAAUAGACUACUGUAAUAAAAUAUUGUAAAAUUACAGUACAGUACUGCUUUGUAACUAUACAGUACUAGUUUGUGUACUGUAAAAUGGUAUUACAGUACAGUACUGUAAAACCAAAAUACAGUAACUUACUGG